AGGGGCAGCACGGGUAGCAAUAUCUGGUGGCGACCGGCGCACGGGUGCGUAACACGUAUACAAUCUACCCUUAACAGGGGGAUAGCCCUCCGAAAGGAGGAUUAAUACCCCAUAAUAAAUUGAAUGGCAUCAUUUGAUUUUGAAAGUUCCGACGGUUAAGGAUGAGUAUGCGUCUGAUUAGCUAGUUGGUGAGGUAAAGGCUCACCAAGGCAACGAUCAGUAGGGGAUCUGAGAGGACUACCCCCCACACUGGUACUGAGACACGGACCAGACUCCUACGGGAGGCAGCAGUAAGGAAUAUUGGUCAAUGGAGGCAACUCUGAACCAGCCAUGCCGCGUGCAGGAAGACGGCCCUAUGGGUUGUAAACUGCUUUUGUACGGGAGAAAACCCUUUCACGUGUGAGAGGUUGAUAGUACCGUAAGAAUAAGCAUCGGCUAACUUCGUGCCAGCAGCCGCGGUAAGACGAAGGAUGCAAGCGUUAUCCGGAUUCAUUGGGUUUAAAGGGAGCGUAGGUGGACUUGUAAGUCAGUGGUGAAAUCUCUCAGCUUAACUGAGAAACUGCCAUUGAUACUGCAGGUCUUGAGUACAGAUGAUGUGGGCGGAAUAUGACAUGUAGUGGUGAAUACUUAGAUAUGUCAUAGAACACCGAUUGCGAAGGCAGCUCACAAAACUGUAACUGACACUG
rnacentral:rRNA from 1 species